rnacentral:lncRNA from 1 species
AGAAGGAUUGAAGGUAAGAUUCCAGGCCUUCUGUGUUGGUGUGGUCAUUCACGAAAACACACAGCAAUAUGUAUUUACGCAACCAGAGACGUGUCAUAGCACGUCUGGAUUCCCAGUGUUUAGCGCCUGGCUCACAGUAGGUUUGCAAUAAAUAUUUACUAAUAUGGCAGUUGUCUUUUCCAGAGCUGACCACAAUACCUCCCAUGCCACUGUGCUUCUUACAGCAUGGCGCCAAUACCCGUCCCUUUGAGAAGUGGGGUCUUUGUUCCCUUCCCUUGAGUUUUGGCAGGACUCUGACUAUGUCAGAGGUAAAUUUAUGUGACUUCUGAGACUGGGUCAUGAAAGGCGACACCGGUUCUGCCCAGUUCCUUAGAAUGAAGGAAGGCUGGCACCAUGGUGUGAGGAAGCCCAAGCCACACAGAGGCUGCACAUGGAUGCUCCAGCCAACUGCCCCAGCUGAGGCUCAGCCGCCAGACAUCGGCAUGAAGACAUCUUCAGAACAACUCUGGCCCCAGCCGCCGUGAUGGCAGGAGAGGCUCCCAGAGAGAACCAGUCAACCCCCAGGACUGUGGGACAUAGUAACAAAAUCUUGUUGGGGUGAUAUUUUACCUAAAGAACAAUGAACAAAAAAUGCUGAUGCGUCAUUGGUGCCUCCAGUGUUCCUAUCUCACUGUUCUGAGACUUCACUUUUCAUACCUUCCCCCUCAGAGUAUGCACUCCUGCUUCUGUGCAUUUUCCGGGCCCUGCCUUCCUCUGGUGCUCUCUGGAAGCUUCUCCUGGUGGCAGGGGGUAUUCUGCUCUCUCCUCUAGCAUCUGCUGAGACUCCUUCUCCUGGGAGUGGACCUCUGCAGAUGUUCCCAGGCAUUGGGGCACGUGGGGACACCUCUCUUCUUAAGGUGCUUCCCUCCUUAGGGUGGCCAGAGCAGAUGCCACCUGCACGGAGGCGGAGGCCCCCUCAGUCAUGAUCCUGAUGAAGAUUCCUUGCUUGGUCAAACUUUAGUCAGGCUUCUGAAUCUUCUGCUACACCCGUCUGUGCACUUCCUUGUAAAACCCAGUUUUAGCAAAAGAACCUGUGAAGUCAGUUUAGGCAGACCCCCCAUCCUAGAUCGCUGAUCACCGUCGAGACCUGAACGAACGGGGUUCCUCAUUCUCCACCACCCCCGGGCACUGUCCGAUCACCCUGCCUGCAGCAAGAAUCCUGUUGGGGCGGUUUUGCCAGAUGUUUCCUCUCAGUGAUUUUCCAUCUGCUGACACCUGUUCUGCCUCCUCUGCUAUAAAUCCCCACCUGCCGGGCUGGUCUUUGAAGUCGAGCCAAUUCUCUCCCUCAGCAAGACCCUGGUGCAGUGGCCCCUAUACCUAUCAAAACUAGAGAGAAUCAUUCUCAGCAACCACUUGGUGAUGUGUGCGUUCCACUCACAGAGUUUAACCUUUCUUUUUAUAGAGCAGUUUGGAAACACUCUGUUGGUAAAGUCUGCAAGUGGAUAUUUAUGAUGGUCCUGAGCGAAGUCCUCCUUACCCUGCCUUAACCAGUGUCAGUGAAUACACCAGUCCUCAAUACUGGCUGUCCUAGAAACUGUUGCCCACUCUGGGCUCCUGCUGCCACCUCCACCACCAAGAGGGGGAAACCGAGGCACGGUUUUGUCUUUAAUUCCCAGCUGCCUCCAUGCGACCUGGGAAAACUCACCCACCACCAGGACCACUUCAGGCCUCUGAAGGGAAACAUGAGCCCAGAGAGAGCAGAAAGUCCUUUCUCCCUCCUGGACCCCAGACACUCCUCUUUCAUGGACCUUCUUUCCAAGAUGACUGACAGCAGCCACUCCACUCAGCUCUCCCCUGAAUCCCACCCCCACGCCCAUUCAGGAUGUGGUGCAGCUGGUCCCAGCAUCAUGAUGCCCCAAGAGCCUGGCACUGGUAUUUUCCUGAAAGUCUGGGCCAAUUGGUGUUACCGUCCAUGACCACCCGGAGGCUUCUGCUUCCUUCCAGUGCCCUCUGGCCACAGGUUGAGGCAAGCUCCUGCACUCACAUUCUGGUUUUUUUUUGGUGCGAUAUCGGCUCACGGCAACCUCUGCCUCCUGGGUU